AAUGGCAUAAGCCAGCUUGACUGCGAGCGUGACGGCGCGAGCAGGUGCGAAAGCAGGUCAUAGUGAUCCGGUGGUUCUGAAUGGAAGGGCCAUCGCUCAACGGAUAAAAGGUACUCCGGGGAUAACAGGCUGAUACCGCCCAAGAGUUCAUAUCGACGGCGGUGUUUGGCACCUCGAUGUCGGCUCAUCACAUCCUGGGGCUGAAGUAGGUCCCAAGGGUAUGGCUGUUCGCCAUUUAAAGUGGUACGCGAGCUGGGUUUAGAACGUCGUGAGACAGUUCGGUCCCUAUCUGCCGUGGGCGCUGGAGAACUGAGGGGGGCUGCUCCUAGUACGAGAGGACCGGAGUGGACGCAUCACUGGUGUUCGGGUUGUCAUGCCAAUGGCACUGCCCGGUAGCUAAAUGCGGAAGAGAUAAGUGCUGAAAGCAUCUAAGCACGAAACUUGCCCCGAGAUGAGUUCUCCCUGAGACUUAAAGUCUCCUGAAGGAACGUUGAAGACGACGACGUUGAUAGGCCGGGUGUGUAAGCGCAGCGAUGCGUUGAGCUAACCGGUACUAAUGAACCGUGAGGCUUAACCUUACAACGCCGAAG
rnacentral:rRNA from 1 species